GCCAAUGUAGUAUAGUGGUUUGAGCAUUGGAUGAUGACUCCAGACACCAGGGUUCAGUUCCCUGCUCAGCCA